AGAUACGCAUUGCAUUCUCAUCAUCCAAAGUUACAGUAUUUUCCAUUCAUCAUCCUCAUCUAAAGUGUCAUUAUUGUAGUUCAUAUAUUUAUAUAAACUGAAGUUAAGUGACAAUGGAUAAUUUGGAGGGAUUGAGUGAUGACCAAUUAUGGAGCACAAUUGAAAAGUGUCAAGCCAUCUUAAAAAGGCGAGCAAGAGAAAGCGGUGGUGAAAGUUCUGUCUCUGCGUCAACUAGUUCAUCUGUCACGUCCAAAGUUAAACGGAUGCGAAUGGUCGUUAAUUCUGGUGAAAGUUCUUAUGCAGAUAGUGAAAGCAAUGCCGAUGAUGAUGAUAAGGCAAAACCAAAAGUGGACAUUUGCCGAGUCCCUCGUACAGUGUAUUGUGCGCAAUACCAAGACCGACAAUGUAAUACUGAUUGUCCCCCAGAUUGCGAUGGAGAUCACAAAAAGUGUAAAUUGUGUCCGUUUCUAUUUACUGGUGACACGAUUCAAAACAAACGUUAUCCUGAUCGUCCUCUCAUUAUUGACGACACUCUGCCAACUUUUACAUGUAGGAGUAUCGAUGCGGGGGAUUAUGUCCUUAUCGACGAGAAUUUAUCAUGCACGUGGGAGGGAAAAGAGGAUAAGGAAAAAACGGGACCGGAAGCUAUUUACUUUGGACAAAGUGGUCAAGGAGCAAAUACUCUCCGGGAUAGGCUGAGAAGAUAUUUUCUUUUUAAACGUAAUGAUUCUAAUCACCCAGUUGUGGACCAUUGUACGGGUGAAUGCAAGGGAAAGGUCAAAUUUAUGUAUCUUGCCGAGAUUUUGGAUGAUAAAUUAAGGAAAAAACGAGAGACGGAAUACAUGUAUUUGUUUGGAACAUUAGAUCCACUAAUUGGGUUUAACAUACAACCCAGUUCCUCUUCCUCAUUCCAAACCACGUCCUGUAGUAUUAGGAAAUAAAGCACCUCUACAGGUUUAUGAACGUGUUACCCGUAAACCAAAAACACCUCUCCAGGACAUUCACUGGCAAAUACCUGCCGCCGAUUGCAUAAUAAGACAAACCUCUCAACAGGCCACAGCAUCAAUAAUAUCGAAUUAUGUAAAAAAUGCAUACCCUAAUUAUUUUAGUGAAACAUCCUUAGAAACCUGCUUCGGCAAGUAUCUUGGAUUUCCAUCCGAAAAAUCCGGAGCUACCUGGAUUUCGAGGACAGGGAAAACGGAAAAUCCAAGGGGAGGUCCCCCUAUAAACGUUUUUGGCUUAAACCCAGCAACAUUUGUUCAGGCUGAGUUGGAUGCUGGUGUGAAAAAGAUGAAAGAAUAUGAAGAAAGUAGGACACAAUCCUCACACGUGAUACCCGAAUCAACUCAAUCAACCCGUAAAAGAACUCCCGUCAAAUCAUACAUCGAUCCUGAACCCUCUGAAUCCGAUUAAGUUAUUAAACUUUCUUUUUAUAUAUAAAAAUGUAAUCUUUAUCUAUAUACUUGCAAAUUGCAACUACCAAUUCAAUUUUCACUUUGUUCAAUGAAUGCCUCUUACCACUUUUCAAUUCCGAAUCCGCCUGGUUCAUUAUCCAUUCAAACUGCGUCUGAAUAGCAGAUGGGCUGAGGAUCUGAUUCUUUAUAUCAUAACAUUCCACUCGGAACUCUGAACCAUAUAAAGAAGAGAAGCGAGUUAAUGACUUGUAUGCGUAUGCGUGUACGAAAUAAUGAAAACAGACGUUCAUAUUGAGACAUGCAGAUUGGAAUUGUAUUACGAAUCAGCAAGGGAGCGAGUUCUUCUCUAUCAAUCAUUCUCUUGAAGACCAAUAUCUAUGCAGAUCAAUAACAUCACAUACGACGUAUUUAAAUUGCUUACAACUUUUCUUAUUAAAAAUACUCACAUUGUAAAUGAUAGUGGCGGCCCUAGCAGUUUGGUUAUUUGUUGGAGUCCAAUAGCUUUGAUCCAUGCCGUAAUAAUUAGAGUUAAUGGCCAACGGACUUCGGCUCAUUAGGUACACAUAUUUUUCCCUGUGAGAAACAACAGCGUGAGGAAUAAACUCCACGAGCCAAGACUAAAAUGGCUUACUAAUGUCAUGCAUUUGAAACUCACCACCAGUCACUAACGUAAUUAGGCAUCCACCAGCUUAAAAAAUAACAGGUUCAGAGAUUGUUAAGCUUUUUACAGAGAGCACUAUUUUCAAAGGCAGCAGCUUCAGCUAUUAAUUCAUUGUGCUCAGUCUGGGUACACAAUGGUUUCAGACUGUCCAAGAGCAACACCAGAGUUUGGUGCACGUUGGGGACGGGGAGGCGUGGCAAUGACCGUUGGCAACUGUAGAGCGAAGGCGAGUAUCCCGAAAUCAUUUUGACCAACACACCCCACAGCACAGUCUUCCCACUCUGUGACUUUAGAUUUUCGUCUAAAAUUAAAAUGGUAUCAAUUAU